UGGGGAAUAUUGGACAAUGGGCGCAAGCCUGAUCCAGCAAUGCCGCGUGUGUGAAGAAGGCCUUCGGGUUGUAAAGCACUUUUAUCAGGAGCGAAACGCUGUCGGCUAAUACCCGGCGGAACUGACGGUACCUGAGGAAUAAGCACCGGCUAACUUCGUGCCAGCAGCCGCGGUAAUACGAAGGGUGCAAGCGUUAAUCGGAAUUACUGGGCGUAAAGCGUGCGUAGGCGGUUUCUUAAGUCUGCUGUGAAAUCCCCGGGCUCAACCUGGGAAUGGCAGUGGAUACUGGGAGGCUAGAGUGUGUCAGAGGGUGGUGGAAUUCCCGGUGUAGCGGUGAAAUGCGUAGAGAUCGGGAGGAACAUCAGUGGCGAAGGCGGCCACCUGGGACAACACUGACGCUGAGGCACGAAAGCGUGGGGAGCAAACAGGAUUAGGAUACCCUGGUAGUCCACGCCCUAAAGCGAUGCGAACUGGAUGUUGGUCUCAACUCGGAGAUCAGUGUCGAAGCUAACGCGUUAAGUUCGCCGCCUGGGGAGUACGGUCGCAAGACUGAAACUCAAAGGAAUUGACGGGGUCAUAGCUGUUUCCUG
rnacentral:rRNA from 1 species